rnacentral:lncRNA from 1 species
GGUCUUGUUUGGGUAUGAAUGCCCUGAUUCCCCCCCCCCCUCCCAGUGGAAGUUGGCAUUAGAGAAAGGUGCUAUAGGGAGGGGAUAUGGCACAUUGUAUAUAAGCUGAAAAUCGUGUUCAAUUUUACUUUUACUUACUGAUAUUUAUUUUGAAUUUUAAAAAAUGUUUUUAUGGGGCUGAGGUUGUGGCUCAGCAGUAGAGCUCUUGCCUAGCACGUGUGAGGCACUGGGUUCAAUCCUCAGCACCACAUAAAAAUAAAAACAAAUAAAAAAGAAAUUGUGUUCAACUAUAACUAAAAAAAUAUUUUAAAAAAUGUUUUUAUGUUGAUCAUGGUUGAGAAAGGAGGUUUUAGAGGAAGGAUUGGCCACAGAAUCCAGGACAGGGCAGGAUUUACACAGGGCAACCAAGGGGUCUCAGGGAAUGUAAUACUAAGGAGCAGCCUGUGGUAAGAGUCUCACUGCACUUCCGUGCCAGAGUUCUUAGAGCAUGCACUCCCUCUUUGAGACUCAAAGACUCCACUCAAAGACUCCCUCAAAGACUUCACUACCCCUUUUCCACACAUGGUCUGGGGGCAGUGGCUUCUUAGGUUUCAGUGGGGAGAGUUUGGCAAGCCAGAGAUUGACAACUACAAAACAAAAGUUGUGAUCUCAAAACAAAACAUCCCAGGGUAAAAUGAUGAUAAUUUUAAAAACCCUAACUCUUCAGUUCAUUAAACAAAUUUGCAUUCUGCAACUGAGGGUUUUACUUUGGUGUGUUUUGUUUAUACACUGACUAUUUGACACAAAUUUUCAGACGAUUGAUCAUUAAACAUUGUGUACUUAGCUGCACUGUCUCUACAACAAGUUAAACUAUGGGUUAGCAACG